ensembl:lncRNA
GGGAGCGUGGAUGAGGCACAGGUGUGUCACUGAAUUACUUGGUGCUGGAAAAAAAGGGCACCCACUGGCGUUCAGCAGUUCUUGCUGAACUUUCAGGGAGGCAAAAGUGUGAAUGUGAGCACAGUGUGGUGGUGAAUGGUGUGUUUCAGAGGAAAAUGAUGAGUAUAGAGCAAGACAAGGUUUUCUCUUACAAUGUAUGAUGAAGUCUAUGUAUUUGUUGCACAUGGUUAGAUUGGAAGUGAUGAUAUUAGGUGUGCUUUUGUAAAUUUUGCCAAAAUAGUUUUGACUCGUACCAGGAACCUCUUAAGUUCUACCAGAAGUACGAGUAGUAAUGCUUACAGUAAUGAGUAUGAUUUAGGGAACCGUAACAUUUUCCAAGUAGCUGAAGAAUAUAAGCAUCAAGAUAAUCUUGGUAUGGUGAUAUAACUACAGUAGUAAAAGGUACUAAUAUAGUAAUUACUAGAAAUGAUGGGGAAAACGGGCAGAAUAGCUGGGUAAAUCCUUUCUUUUAGAAGAUGCGUGGAAUUUCUUCUUGAGAAAUUAGAAUACUUGUUCUUUACACCACUUCAGACUUCUUUAAGGCUUGCUUUUUUCAUUUGAAAUAGUCUUUUUAAAGAAUCACAGAGGGGAAAAAAAUAGCAAAUGAUGUCAAAGUCAAGUGAAAUGCACAAUCCUUUGUGUGUCUACCAGUAUAUUCUAAUUACUUGAUCUUCAAAAAUAAAAAAUAAAAAAUAAAUGAUGUUGUAAUAUGAACAACUGGAAGAGAGAAUCAUCAGAAGAAACAUAAAGGCAAAAGAAACAUGGGCUGCAUUAAAAAAGCAUCUACGUUUGAUAAAGAAGCUUACAAAAGAAAACAACUUCUUCUGGGAAUGUAAAGGUUUUAGCUCUGGAGCCGAAACUUGGAUAUAGUUGCGGUAGGUGAAAACACAGAAAUGCAAACGGAGAGUUCUCCUAGAGCUCAUGUAGCGGUUAUGGUGGGGUGAACGAACCCUGCUUUGCUUUUGGCUCAAAGCUUGCUUUCGGAGGCAUUUCUGGGGGUGGUGCAGUCACCAACCCUGGGGGUGUUCAAGAAACAUUGAGCUUUUGUACCUAGGGGUGUGGAGUCAUGGGACAUAUUGGUGAUAGGUGGAUGGUUGGAGCCCUUGGCGGUCAUUUCCAGCCUUGCUGACUCCCUGAGUCCUGUUUCUUAGCUCCAGAAUUCCACUGUCUCCUUCCCAAGGGUCAACAGGUAUUUGUCGACGGGGUGUAACGCCUCUCAUGCACGAAGAAGACAUUUGGGAAUUGGGAUGGAUUUUAUUGACAUGAUUGGUGACAGGGUGACAAUGGUGACAGACCCCUAAUGCUUGUGCAGACCCAAUGGUGUCCCGAUGAAGGGCCGCAGUGUGUUGUGGGGUCAGAAAAGAGCGGGCUUAGGUGGACGGAUGCCAAGGGCAGUCGCCAGCUCUGCAGGCAGGACCCAGUGAAGGAUGUCCUUCUGCAGCACAACUAGGGUGAAGAAGAUAAGCUGCAGCAGGCCCAAGAACAGCAGAAACGCCCUGCGGAACAGAAGAAGGUCGAGUCAGAUCCAGGGGCGUGUUUGUCACAGCACUUUCCAUCCAGCCCUGGCAAAUGGCCCGUGGACAUGUGCCAUACAGGGAGCAAGGGAAUCUGUCGUAGGUCUGCGCAGGGCUGCCAAGAUCGCCACCCCACCUGCUCUCCCACCCAGGACCCUAAGCAAUACUAAAGCAUUUUAUCUCCAAACAGUCAAAAGCUGCCCAAUGGUCUCUGGACCCCAGGGCGACUCACCGCAGCCAGGUAGUUACAAGUGGAUGCUUCUGUGCUGCCGUCUGCUCAUCCUAGAGGACAAAGCAAAGCAGGGCCACGCGUUGGGGUGAGCGCAGGUUUGGGCACUUAGAAGCCCUCCUUCGUCCCCACAACCAGAGGGAGGCCCAUAUCCCCUGCGGUGGCCCGGAGGUGAGCCUUCCCUCCCCAAGGCCCCGGUGGGGCUUUCUCUCUUACCAAUCGCACUGCCACUGCCUCCUGCAUCAGGGAACUCAUGUGCUCUUCCCUGCGUGUCAUCUUCCUCCUGCUACAGACACAGGGAGUUUGGUGUGUGAGAAGAGGCCUCGGCCGGCACCAGGAGCUCACCCC